CACCUACUCCCUCCGUUCGAAAAUACUUUUCACAUGAUUGGAUGCAUCUAGAUGUAUUUUAGUUUUAGAUAAAUUCAUUUUUAUAAUUUAUGCAACAAGUAGUUCUGGACGGAGGGAGUAUUAC
rfam:Hordeum vulgare subsp. vulgare, WGS project CAJW01000000 data, contig: morex_contig_1593960